GUGCUCACUUCGGCAACACAUACCCUAAAAUUGGAAUGAUACCGAGAUUAGCAUGGCCCCUGCGGAAGGAUGACACACAAAUUCAUGAAUUGUUCCAUAUUUUU
ensembl:snRNA U6 U6 spliceosomal RNA